UAUGUGAUCGUCUCUCGCAUAUCAAUAAGCGGAGGAAAAGAAACUAACAAGGAUUCCCCUAGUAACGGCGAGUGAAGCGGGAAGAGCUCAAAUUUGAAAUCUUAAAGGGUUUCCCUUUACGAAUUGUAGUUUAAAGAAGUGUUUUCUGUUGAGGUUUUGGUAAAAGUUCUUUGGAAUAGGACAUCAUAGAGGGUGAGAAUCCCGUAUUUGACCUUUACUUUCAACUUUGUGAUACACUUUCAAAGAGUCGGAUUGUUUGGGAAUGCAGUCCAAAAUGGGUGGUAAAUUUCAUCUAAAGCUAAAUAUUGGCGAGAGACCGAUAGCGAACAAGUACCGUGAGGGAAAGAUGAAAAGAACUUUGAAAAGAGAGUUAAACAGUACGUGAAAUUGUCAAAGAGGGAAGCGUUUGACACCAGUGUUGUUUUUCUGAAAAUCAAUUAAAGAACUGUUUAUGCUAAGUUGUUUAGACUUUAUCAGCUAUCUGUUUAGUUUUGAGCUUUUCUUUAAUGCACUUUUCAGUUAACAAGUCAACAUCAAUUUCUUUUGCUGUAAAAAAGCUUGAGGAAGGUGGCUUGAGAUUCGUCUUAAGUGUUUAUAGCCUCUUGCCUAUGCAGUCGGAGAGAUUGAGGUCUGCAGCGUAGAUCCUUCGGGGCUAAAUGCAUUUGUGCUAAGUUAUAACAUUUUAUAGACAACUUGUUGACUAUGAUUUGUCUUGUAGCUUACUCGCUUAUGUUAUUUUACCUACGCUUAGGAUGUUGAGUAGCGACAUACGCAC
rnacentral:rRNA from 1 species